rnacentral:rRNA from 1 species
UACAGAGGUCCCAAGCGUUGUUCGGAUUCACUGGGCGUAAAGGGUGCGUAGGUGGUGAGGUAAGUCGGAUGUGAAAUCUCCGGGCUCAACCCGGAAAUGGCAUUGGAAACACCUUUGCUGGAGGGUUUGAGGGGGGAUUGGAAUACUUGGUGUAGCGUGAAAUGCGUAGAUAUCAAGUGGAACACCAGUGGCGAAGGCGAAUCCCUGGAAAAUACCUGACACUGAGGCACGAAAGCUAGGGGAGCAAACAGG